rnacentral:rRNA from 1 species
GACGAACGCUGGCGGCGUGCCUAAUACAUGCAAGUCGAACGCUUUUUCUUUCACCGGAGCUUGCUCCACCGAAAGAAAAAGAGUGGCGAACGGGUGAGUAACACGUGGGUAACCUGCCCAUCAGAAGGGGAUAACACUUGGAAACAGGUGCUAAUACCGUAUAACACUAUUUUCCGCAUGGAAGAAAGUUGAAAGGCGCUUUUGCGUCACUGAUGGAUGGACCCGCGGUGCAUUAGCUAGUUGGUGAGGUAACGGCUCACCAAGGCAACGAUGCAUAGCCGAACUGCGAGGGUGAUCGGCCACACUGGGACUGAGACACGGCCCAGACUCCUACGGGAGGCAGCAGUAGGGAAUCUUCGGCAAUGGACGAAAGUCUGACCGAGCAACGCCGCGUGAGUGAAGAAGGUUUUCGGAUCGUAAAACUCUGUUGUUAGAGAAGAACAAGGAUGAGAGUAAAACGUUCAUCCCUUGACGGUAUCUAACCAGAAAGCCACGGUUAACUACGUGCCAGCAGCCGCAGUAA